rnacentral:misc_RNA from 1 species
GAUGAAGAACGCAGCGAAAUGCGAUAAGUAAUGUGAAUUGCAGAAUUCAGUUAAUCAUCGAAUCUUUGAACGCACAUUGCGCCCUCCGGCAUUCCGGGGGGCAUGCCUGUCCGAGCGUCACGAAAACCCCAUCACACUCGUUGUGGUCAUGGCUGCAGUGAGUCGUCUCCAGCGGAGAGGGUCACGCCGCUGAAAGGAAUGGUGCGGAUGAGUUCCGAUGGCCGAACGUAGUACUUGACAACCGUCGGCCGAUGGGACCCUCCAUCUCGCCCUGACGACGUACCCCCGUCGUACCCCCGAUCAGGUGGACCUCGGAUCAGGUAGGGAUACCCGCUGAACUUAAGCAUAUCAAUAAGCGGAGGA